AUAUACAUCAUAGUCAAAUAAACAACAUCAUAUUCGAUCUGCAAAGUCUCUAUCAGUUCCUUCCCAGUCCUUAUCGCUCAGCCUUACAUUUUGCUGAGAAAAUGUUCCCUGUUCAAUAACAAACCCAGAAGCAAAUGAGACCAUCGCACUUAGCAAACGAUGUGCUGAGAAAUGAGGGUAGAGGAGGGGGGGUUCCUCCUUCUGAAAGCUAAAUUUGAAAUUAAUUGAUUGCAAGGGUGGGAGACACUCAGGGCUCAAGCUCUCCAUCCUGCUCGUAGGACAACAUGGAAAACAGAUCGAAGGAGCUGCAAAGAUGCUGAAGACCAGCACGUUUUAAACAGAGACUGAGGAUCCCAUGAUCCAGCCCAAGAACUUCUAUGGAACUUCUGUGGCACUAUUCCUGCCCCUGCCAAGUCCCAGCCCUCCUCAGGCUGAAUUUUGGCACGUUCCUCCCUUUCCCUUUCCUUUGUGCAAUUUUCUUCUCUCUUCUCUCCUUUCCCGGAAUUGAAAGAGUUUGCACAUGCAAUGUGAGUCACCUCGUCUGCUGCAAGGUGCAAAGGACAGAGAGAGCUCUGUUCUCCUGGCAGUUGCAGUUGGGGCUUGGAUAAAUCCUCUGAGUUGUCAGUCAGCAAAGGCAAGCUCCUCAUUCAGCAUGGGUGACCCAGGAGUUUCAGAAGCUCAAAAUAUUGCACAACUUGGAAGAAUUAUCGCUGGGAAAAUUACUGUAGCACCCAAGGGGAAUUCAGCUCUCCACCACAAAUGCAGAGGCAUUCAAACUUCUCCUUGAAGUGGCUGCAAAAAUUUCUUGAUUUGGCCAUUUUUGUUUACCAGAACCUCAUUCGGCACAUUGGCUGAAAUCUUCCUGGCCCAGGUUGUGCCCCCAGCUCCGGGGGAUUUUCUUAUUUUUGAAAACUCCAGCUAAAUGCUGGCACAGUUAUAAGGAAUUGAGGGAAGCUCUUAAAAUGGAAAAUGUUGGGCAAGCCCAAAUAGCUUUGGAGGAUGUGGCAUGGUGAGGACAACCUCCUUGAUGGAGACUGGGCUCCCUCGUGCUGCUGUCUGCUGUGCUCAGCUGGGCACAGCACAGAUGGGCACUGAGCAUGGAAGGAUGCUCCUGCCCCCACUCCAAAUGAGAGCAUCAAAUAGUAGGGUACAGCAACACCAAACCUGCUUCCCAGUGCACUUCUCUGCAGGGAGGUGCUGGGCAGCAGUUAAGGGGGACCUAUCCAGCUCACUGCCAUGUCCAGGUUCCUUCCACAUCUGGACUUCACCCCUCAAAGGAUGAGUUGCACCACGUAUUUAAGCCCACGGCAAGGUCCCCCUCUGUGCUUCCCUUGCAAAGAAUGAAAUAACCUGGAAGCUGUUGGUCUCUGGAAGCAAUUUAGCAUGGGACGUGGCUAUUAAUUUAAAUAGAUUACAGAAAUUUGAACUAAGCUGCAUAUAAAUCUUCUGACCAGUUCUUUGGG